AUGUGGACAGAGGAAGCCGGGGCGACGGCCGAGGCCCAGGAAUCCGGCAUCGGGAACAAGUCUAGCAGUUCCAGUCAAAUCCCGGUGGUUGGGGUGGUGACGGAGGACGAUGAGGCGCAGGGUGUUUUCAAGGCUAUGGACCUUAAUCGUGUCAUCAAACUCCUCGAAGAGACUGAUAAAGUUGGCUUGGAAGAAAAACAACUUAAAUUUGUCAAGAAACUGGUACAGUGUUAUCAGAAUGGACUUCCAUUAAGGGAUUUAGCACAGAUAUUUAAAAUUCUGAAUCUGUGUUCAGGAAAAAUAAAAAACCAGCCUCGUUUUAUAGAAUCUGCAUAUGAUAUCAUAAAACUCUUGCCAUUUUUGAAAAAGAAAGUGUCGGAUGAAAUAACUUAUGCUGAAGAUACUGCUAAUUCAAUUGCACUUCUGGGUGACUUAAUGAAAAUACCAAGUUCUGAAUUGAGGAUACAAAUUUGUAAGUGUAUUGUUGAUUUUUAUCAUGCAGAACCACCAAAGAAGCAUAUUCCAGGUUACCAGCAAGCGAGUUCAUCAUACAAGAUUCAAAUGGCUGAAGUUGGAGGAUUAGCAAAAACAAUGGUCCAGUCAAUGACCUUGCUUGAAAAUCAACUUGUUGAGAAACUUUGGGUACUUAAAGUUCUGCAGCAUCUCUCAACUUCUGGGCUUUGA
rnacentral:sRNA from 1 species